AAUGAACGUUGGCGGCGUGGAUUAGGCAUGCAAGUCGAGCGAGAAGUCCUUCGGGACGGACAGCGGCGAAAGGGAGAGGAAUACGUAGAAAUCUACCCCUGAGACCGGGAUAGCGUCGGGAAACUGGCAGUAAUACCGGAUAAUGUCUUAGGACCAAAGGUGUGAUUCCACUUGGGGAUGAGUCUACGCCCUAUUAGCUAGUUGGUGGGGUAAUGGCCUACCAAGGCGAUGAUGGGUAGCGGGUGUGAGAGCAUGAUCCGCCUCACUGGGACUGAGAACUGCCCAGACACCUACGGGUGGCUGCAGUCGAGAAUCUUUGUCAAUGGACGAAAGUCUGAACAAGCGACGCCGCGUGCGGGAUGAAGGCCUUCGGGUUGUAAACCGCUGUCGUAGGGGAACAAAUGUACGGGGGUUCUCCCCUGUAUUUGAGUGAUCCUAGGAGGAAGGAGAGGCUAAGCUCGUGCCAGCAGCCGCCGUAAAAC
rnacentral:rRNA from 1 species